rnacentral:rRNA from 1 species
UACAGAGGUGGCAAGCGUUGUUCGGAAUUACUGGGCGUAAAGGGCGCGUAGGCGGUCUUGUAAGUCCUGUGUGAAAUCCCUCGGCUCAACUGAGGAACUGCACGGGAAACUGCUUGGCUUGAGUUCGGGAGAGGGAAGCGGAAUUCCGGGUGUAGCGGUGAAAUGCGUAGAUAUCUGGAGGAACACCGGUGGCGAAGGCGGCAUCCUGGACCAAUAUUGACGCUGAGGAGCGAAAGCCAGGGGAGCAAACGGG